CCAGCCUCGUUUAGAUGACAAUCAGUUAAAUUCCUUCUGUAAUUGUAAAAUAUGAAUUGGUUAUAUUGCAUGACGCAAACUGCGGGUCAAAAUCAUGUUCUCGAUUAUUCAAUAAACAAACGAAACGGUAGCAAUUAUUACCACACAUGAAACGCGCUUGCAACGCAUAGAAGCUGGACUGUGAUAAAAUAUAAUUUUUAAUAAUGCAUGACGAACCUUUACGCAACGUUCGUGGGUUAAUUAUCCAAUAAACAAAACAAAACGGCAACUAUGAUGAUAAUGAAAUGCGCUUGCAACGCAUAACAGCAGUUCAUUGUGCAGGAUAAUUUUUAUGACGCACACAAAAAAUUAGCAUAGCCCACGCACGUAAAUUAACCCUGCCCACUCG